AAUCUGACGCGUGCAGCUGGUUCGCCCUGUCCGCCAGGCAGGCGCGUCGUAAGAGGGAACCCGGUGGGAAUCCGGGACUGCCCCGCAGCGGUGAGUGGGAACGACCACCGUCAUGAGCACUGGAUCCGGCCGCGGAUCCGGGAAGCGACGGUCAGUAGGUGUCCGCCUCGGCGGACGUGCCCGCGAGUCCGAAGACCUGCCCGUUGCCCGUACGUGAC
rnacentral:ncRNA from 1 species